GUUAUGUUAUGUCAUGUUAUGUCAUGUGAUGUCGUGAAAAGCAAAAUAUUAAAUGAGUACAAAAGACAUCAAGCCUAAUAGUCGGAUAAUGACUCUAACUAUAAUAUCACGGACUCACGAUUCGAUUUUCGAUCAUUAUCUUUGCCUGCCCGGUGUUAAUUGCGAUCGAAGCCUAGAGCUAUCAAAACGUAAAUAUUAACACUAAAAAACAGAGAUGAGUUUGAAGUCAGUUUUUUAUAGUUGAGAUUGUAUUGUUAACAGCUGUCUCCCGUCCUUCAAACUCCUUUUUGACUGCUGUAGCAGACAUAAGCAAGGCUAUCGGCAUAGGAAGCCAAAAAAAGAGAUAAGCAGGAUUCUAAUAUCUAUCCAUGCGGAUUCACGAUACGCAUUUUAGUGAGAGCCCACGCAAAUUUAUAAAUUUUGCGGGCUUCAUUUUACAAGUUGUUAUUCCUUAGUCGCUAUAUCACUUCACUGACUUGUAGUUGUUAAUUACGCUACGACCUUGCCAGAUCUCGGUUUACGUGGUUGUUACAUGAUGAGUUUUACUUAGCUGUCUACUAAUUUUGUUAUGUAAGUUCGGAUAACAUUUAAGACUAUUAAAUUUAAAAUUGAAUUGAGAAUCAGUUACGUAUAUUAUAAAUUUCUUAUUUUACAAAACACACUAGCAGUUUUUGGUUAUAUGUAUGUUUUUAUUACCAUCUAAUAUAUUAAUGACAUUAUGAAAAGCAAAUGUUUAUUUUGAGUGACACAACAUUUGAUGGAUGUUCUACAAUACAGGUCUAGAUGUUGCCUUGAAGUCCAAUAACUUUACUUAGCGUUGUUAUGUAUGUAUGUGCCGUGUUGGAGGGUAUUCGAUGUGUUUAUAUCGUGUGAAACACUUUUUUUAUGUUUGAGAGAUUACUGGUGGCCCGGAGGCCUUUCCAGUUUUACCAGGGCAGGUGGGCGAGCAAGGACUCAGCCAGGAAGGGUGGGAUUUGCUAACAGCUACCCGAGCGCCUCCAAAGGAGACCUAACAAUUCAGGAGUAGUUGCUUCGCGAAUGAAUCUACUACAGGAUCGGAAUCGCGACUCGCUGAGAAGAUCCGGUGAGAAACUCAGCGGGCUGAUGUUUAGGUUAGGUUGCACGUCGAACUCUUUACCGAGUUUGACGAGUACGGUUACCGGGGUCCUUACUCCUAGUGUUAGAGCUAGAUCCGGAGUGCUCAACAAAAACAAAAUUGUCCCUCCAACAGUAACAAUGCAAGCAUCUAAAAUAUUUAGGUACUAGAUGGCAUUAUUCUAAAUUUUGUGUGCCAAGUAUUUAAUAAUUUUGCGUAAAAUCAUGUUUUUAUUCAAAACCUGUUACAUAGAUACGACUUAAUUAUCAAAUUAGUGUAUUGUCAUCGGUCUUCGAUAUAUCUACAAAGUUUGAAUGAAAUCUGGCCGUUUAAAGUGGGUCAAAAACGCGUCUAAAGGAGUCAGUUACAAACAUACAUACAAGUGAAGCUAAUAUAAAGCGUGUAAAAAGAUCAUAAGGUGAAUUAAAGUAUUAAAUUGUAUAAAACGAAGUGCACGCCGUGUGGCGUAGGGUUAUACUAUAAAUAAAAUGAAAUAACUACAUAUUUAGAAUGAACAUAAAACAAAUGUAAUUUAAGAAAGAGAAGAAUUUAAAAUGUUUGAAGAGAGCGCUAAUAUUAUUCGAACCGCAGCAAUAACGAGGUCACGAUAGAAUGAGUUCGACCUUUGAAACUUUUAUUACCUUUACUUUUAGCGAUAUCUAUUUCAUUCGAGUUUCAAACUUCCAAGAUUCUAUAAAUAAAUUUUAGAAAUUCCCGGAGUUUCCGCUAAAUUUACAAAAGUGCAAAAUUAUUGGCAUACAUACUGUUUAUGUGCCCAAAUUUUUAAAACCGAUCUGCAUGUAUCUGCUACUAAGCAAUCGUGAUUUCCAGUUUAAAAGAACGAUAGCCGUUGUGUAAUAGAGUGACUAUGACGUCUUGACCCAAGAUUGGCGACAACAUUAAUAUUUUGCUUAGCUCAUUGAUUUCGGCAAAAGCGGGUCUGCCGUGCUUUGAUCUGCUUUAAUGAUAGGUAUCGAACAGCGGAAUAUACCUUGAGUACUAGAAAUUAGUACGUAAUGUGACUGGAGUAUUUAAUGAACCGCGGUAUGAUCACUUGUGCUGCGCACGUGGCAUACGUUUGUAGAUCGUAUUUGUUGUUGUUCGGGAAUUACAGAAUUAAAAUAAUAUAAAUUGGGAUAAAAAUUCAAAGCGUAUAUUUUAAUGUAUAUUUUCACUGGUGGUAGGACCUGGGAGUCUUGGGAGAAUUGUUAAGUACGUACGUUUCAUUAGAAAAAUUGGUACUCGCCUGCGGGAUUCGAACACCGUUGCAUCGCUAUAUACGAAUGCACCGGACGUCUCCUCCUUUAGGCCACGACGACAAAAGAGAUACUGAGAUCUUAGAACUAAUAUCUCGAGGUGGGUGGCGCAUUUACGUUGUAGAUGUCUAUGGGCUCCAGUAACCACUUAACACCAGGUAGGCUGUGAGCUCGUCCAUCCAUCUAAGCAAUAAAAAAAACGUGUCACGCAGUGCUCAGUUUACGCGGUAAAAAAAACCACAGACUAUAUAAAUAUUCAGGCGCCUAAACAGUUGUCUAUAGGAUAUCAGGACGUGAUCAGGUUCGUUGUACGCAAUUUUCAUGUAGGGGAUUUCAAUAAAUAUUUUUACAGCAUGAACGAGUAAAGAGUAGCACACUUCAACGCACAUCAAAACAUACUUUGCAUUGAAUAUCAAUCAAUAGGCGAUCUAAAAGCGAUCACUUCCCGACAACCGUUUUCACGUAGAGAAAUUCUGAAUAAAGAUACAGAAGGUUUGUUACUGUUUACCGUGGCUAAAACUAUUCUAAUAAGUUUGUCAAAAUAGAUCGAAUUUUUCAGUAUAUUAAUGUUGUGGUGAGUUUUUAUUAACAUAAUAAUAUAUAUUUAUAAUAAACCAUGAAAAACCUGUGCUAUAAUAUAAUAUAUUAAUAAUAAAGUUUUUUAUGGCAUAGAGAGGUGAACGAACUCACGACCAGCCUGGUCUAAAGUGGAUACAUGAGCCGACAUCACUACCCAAUUUAGAAUCUAAUCAAAAGUUUAGAUAUUAAUUGUAUCGUAUAACGGCUGUCCCAUCCUUCAAAUCGGAACGCUUUUUUCUUUAGAGACUGGCAAGGAGGCGAUACCUACGCAUGACGAUCCGAAAGACUUCGUACACCACAGUAAUUACGCAAAUAAUCAUUUUUGGGAACUUGUUUUUUUCUAAGUACAUGAUGUUAUGCUUUCAAUAUGUAUAUAUGUAAAAUACUUAUUCCAUUUGAAAACUCUGUAUUUGCCAACGAAAUUUGAACGCCAGCAUAGUAAGUAAUCUUCUUAGGCGAUGCGAUCUUAUCCUUUACGGCACGAUGACUUCUAAGUACAUUUUGCCUUAAUUAGUUGUGCUAUAUUUAAAAAUGUUUAAAAUAUUGUCUAUGUACGAGGUAAACAGUUCCACGGUUAGCAGCCCUGAGUCAAACAAAAUUGAAGUGUCAGCCGCGACUUGCUUCCAACAACAUCCCAACUGCGUCGCAUUUAAAUACAUUACGUAAUGAUUAUUCUAAUGAGUUCUUUACGAUAUAAAUGGUUUUUAGUGAAUUAUAUAUUUAGUUUCGAAUUUUUUUUUACCCUUUCUAGCAGGUUAUAGCAUAAGGGGCCAUUCCAACUACGCGUGGUGGGGUAGGUGAACUCACGGGGCUAAGCCUGAGAACUUGCUAAUACCAGCCCUAGCAAGAGUAGUGCUUCGCUGAAUCUGACAUUGGAUCGAAAUCAUGACCUACUGAGAAGAUCCCACGAGAAACUCAAUGGGUUGUAUCUAUAGGACACAAAUAUUUGUCAAUUCUUAGCUUUUUUGCUCUCUGUUAUUGUUUCAUUUAAUAGUUUGGUUUAAUUAAAAAUCUUUAUAAAUAUAUCAAAGAAAUAAGUUUAAUUCGAAAUGAAUGUAUUGACACCUUAUUUUGAAAUUUGACAAAAGGUUUAGGCUAUAAGGCUGUACCAAAUAAAAUGUAAGUACAUAAGUUAAAAAAAACAUUUUUUGGUAAUUUUGUAAAAAUAAACAAGAAUUCACCUUACUUCUUUGAUGUAAGAUAGACUAACAUAAUACGAUUAUGCUUUAAGCAAAUACAAAUAUGUAGGUUUACUUAGUCAGAUGAAUUCAUUUAGUAUAAUAUUUUCACAAGCACUUCAUUUUCAUUUAAUUUCAUUUGAAACUUAUCCCUCAAUGAAGGUUUACACGGCAAACUUUGAAAAUUGUUGAAAGAGUAGCAACACAUAACUAGGGACGGGACGCUCCGUGAUGCAAUUAAUUAGAGCGUGUUUGUUGUAGAAUUUAAUUAUUUCACGUCUUAUUUUAGAACAUUAUAUGAAUUUAAACGUUGAACUAGUUAUGUUUUUUUUAUAAAUAAAUCUACUUGAUAAUUGACAUUUAAAUACUUCAUCUUCUUCAGCAAUAGUAGGCACUUUAAUUAUUAAUGAAUCUUUGUUAAUUAACCCGGUGAUACAUUUAUAUUUACUUAGAUGAGCAAACGUAGUCACGGCCAACGCGGUGCUAAGAAGAUACAGAAGAGACACAUGAGGUCGAAGUUGCAACUUUAAUACUUAAAGUCCAGUAUACCCCAGAAGGCAUCUUUUCCUUGCGCUAGAAACAGACAAGCUCUACCCGAUUGAAAAAGCUCGCAAUAUGCUGAAAUAAUUGUGAUGUUAAACUACCGUCUAGUCUUCCUUGAAUACGGGUUAGGAAUAUUUUAAAUAAAAAAAUGGGAUAUAGGAUGCACAAUAGUAAUAAACCUGCUUCCAAAUUUUCAACUUCGAUCGUUUCACUCGAUACGCGCCUUACAUCCAACUUAUCGAUGAUUUGAUCACCAAUUGUUGAUCGAUGUUUGCUUUUGUAAAAAUCUCACCCGUUUCUUCAGAUAUUUUGUGGAAUGAAUAAGGAGAUGAUAACACUAAAUACAUAGGAAACUAAAAGGAUCAAUCUUUUUUUUUUUAAUCUUACUUUUAUCUUAUCUUUACUUAUAAGAACGAUUUGUUUAUUUUUAAAAACAAGGAUAAUAUAGAAAGUACACAAUAUUAAGUUCACAACUACCCAGUGCCAUGAAUUAAAAUUGUCAAACAUUAACAGUCUUAAUUUCUAGACCUUGACACUAAGAUAAUUAAAAGUCAAAUUUAAAAACAAUUUAUAUUUUCUUCAUCUGGAGUGGAAAUGACCCAGCAGACCAAUAAAAAAAAGCUAAAUAUUAUGUUGUCACUGAUGAUACUAUUAGUUUGGACUCUGUAAUUUUAAAACUCGAUAUGCUAUCCCAAAUAAUGUUUUCGUUUUGACCCCGAUGUGCGGGUACCGUAAAAUUAUUAUAUAAGCCGAUGAAUUCUCUAGUUAGCGGGCGGGAUGUUGUUCCCAGCGCUGAGUUUGUAGACUGAUCGAUGUCAGGUGCUAUUGCUGUUACAUACUUCAUGCAUGUUCAUAGUUCAAAUAUUUUACUCGGAUAAUAUUACAAUUCACCUACUAUGACGGAUCUUGAUCGCCAUUAUUUAGUCAUGUUCACAUUGAAAAAGGUAAGUUUUUAUCAUCCGAUUCCGUAAAAACUAUAUUAGUAAAAGUAGGUAGGUAUUAUAUUACGUUCUAUUAGCAAUGUAAAGCAUACUAUAUUGAUUAAAUGGCUCUAAUUUUGCGAAGUCGAUUGUGAGCCGAUUUCCGUAUUAUGAAGUUCGCUUGGAUAAAUGACCUAAUAGCACGGAUGGCGUAUCAUAUUUCUCGUUGUAUUCAUGUUUGUUCAUGACGAUAUUUGUGAAUGUCAAAUAUUCGUAAAAGUCAGUCUGUUACGAUUCUGGAACGGCUGCUUCGUUGAAGCCGUAAAAUAAAUAUAAAUAGCAAGUAGUACAAGCUAUGAUUGUGUUGUCUGAGCUAAUAACGAUGUAGGGACGUUUAUUGAUAGAUUUGCAGAGUCAAUAUCGUUUGCCUCUGAGUCUUAUAACUCACGUCCGUCGUGUUUUUCCGUUUGCGUUGAAGUUGGUUUGGUUUAUUACAAUUUGCACAAUCGGUCAUCUGACCGUUAACAAAAUGAUUCGAAUUAUGAAAUUCAGAUUAAUGCCCGUAUCUUUAGAUGUUUCGUUAAAUAGUCCUCCACUCUUAACUCAUCCGAUGAUGCUCGAGCAUUCCUCCCAAACUUACUCGAGUUUGGUAUUUUUAGUCGACCAUUACAAUAUUCCUCAACUGUCCUCGAGUGAGGUAGAGUCGUGUUAUUGCGUCACCACGACAGCAUCAGUUUGAGGAAAAUUUGAUCAAGCUAGCAUCAAACCCAUAGAGUUCUGUAGUCUAUGGUCAUUGUUUAAUGAAGUCGUCGUGGCCUAAAGGAUAAGACGUCCGGUGCAUUCGUGUUGAAGCGAUGCACCGGUGUUCGAAUCCCGCAGGCGGGUACCAAUUUUUCUAAUGAAAUACGUACUCAACAAAUGUUCACGAUUGACUUCCACGGUGAAGGAAUAACAUCGUGUAAUAAAAACCAAACCCGCAAAAUUAUAAUUUGCGUAAUCACUGGUGGUAGGACCUCCUGUGAGUCCGCACGGGUAGGUACCACCACCCCGCCUAUUUCCGCCGUGAAGCAGUAAUGCGUUUCGGUUCGAAGGGUGGGGUAGCCGUUGUAACUAUACUGAGACCUUAGAACUUAUAUCUCGAGGUGGGUGGCGCAUUUACGUUGUAGAUGUUUAUGGGCUCCAGUAACCACUUAACACCAGGUGGGCUGUGAGCUCGUCCAUCCAUCUAAAGCAAUAAAAAAAAAAAAAAUGUCAAAGUCAAGCUGCCGCUGUCUGUUUGAUACUAGAAGCAUUGAACUUGUUUGAUGUUUUAGUUGCUGAGUUAUUCGUAAAUAUGUGUGCGUGCGGUAAAUUUGAAAGUGUAUUAUUUAUUUUCUAACCCAUUAUUAUUUUAGAUUUCAGACCCGGCUUUGUAUUUUUAUUCGCCGUUUUUGUGUGAUUUUGAUUGCAUCGUGUUGUUGAAAUGCUUUUCCACAGUCACCAGUUUAUUAUUAUUUAAAUAAAACUUAUAAUCGCAUUGACUUUAUUUAUUAGGUAGUAAGCAAAAUAUGACUCUUAUGUAGGUAAAUAAAAUAAGGAGUUUCAAAUGUCUAACCACGAGUCUAAACAAGAGUCUAACCUCGAACUAUUUACUUUAUUAAUAAAAACUAGCGACCCGCCCUCGCUUCGCUUCGGAAACAUUAAAACACACAUGAAACCAAAAAAAUAAAAUAAUUUUUUUUUUUUAAAAAGUAGCCUAUGUUCAUCAGGGACAAUGUCGGCUUCUAAUGGAAAAAUAAUUUUUCAAAUCGGUCCAGUAGUUUCGGAGCCUAUUCGAAACAAACAAACAAACAAAUCUUUCCUCUUUAUAAUAUUAGUUAGUAAUAUUAGUAUAGAUUAUCAAAAUUAAACUAAAUAUGCGCGAAUCAUGCACAGAUCCAGGCCAUUGCACAACAAUAUCAAAAAAUAUAUUUCCAUUUGCGGUCCACAUACUAUUUGGACAUUGAUAGAAAACCAGCCUUGAGGAACUUGACAGUUCAUGUACUCCAAUCCGGUGAGGACAAAUUUCCAAGGACGUUUGAGUGGAGUUUAUUUUUACGACUAAGCAUACCAAAACGCGCGUUGGAGGUUGAGUCGAGUCGAGUUAAGCUCGUGUGAACGACUAAAUAUACGGGCAUUACAGUUGACUUAACGCAAAUUCAGGUGAGAAUAACGAUUGAGUUAUAUUUGGCCGAGCUACUUGUCAGACGGAUCGAUUCAAAGCACGACCGUGUCAGACUAGCGUUAAAUAAACAAUCGUGGUAAAUUACGCUUGAAUGGAAUCGGUCGACAAAUAUUUGCAUUUGGAUAAACGUGUUGAAUUACGGCUGUUUUUUUUAUUUCAUGCGGUUUUGUAUUUGUCAGAUUUGCUAUCUGUUGAGUUGUAUCCUGUUGUAAUCGUUACGAGCUUACUACAUUUCAAUUAAUUUUAUUUAAUACAAAAUUGAACGUGAAUAAAAUGUGGGGAUGUUCUUUGUUUUAAGAUCUAAUAAAAAAAACGACAUUUGAGUCGUCUAUUAUCAAAGGUGGCAAUCUGUGCAUUUGGACAAAAAAAUUUUAUUGAUAUGUCAAUACAGAUUUACUUGAAUAUAAUCGUCUCCUUCAAAGAAUACGGUUCAAAACCUGCAUUAAAUAAAGGUUAAUAGUUAACCUGUUAUUUAUCUAAGAUGUCGUUCCGAAGAGUUUUGUGACUGCCAAUGGAAUACAAAGUCAAUAAUUCGUUUUUCUGAUUUACCAAUCAUUAUCCAAAAGUCGGAUUGCCGGCUUUGAUAAUAGUCGACUCAUUUACGCAAUUUUUAAGUACUGUUUUUGCUUUUUUAUAGUAUUAUGCGUUGAUAUAGAUAAGCAGACGAGCUCACUUGGUGUUAAGUGGCUACCGGAGCUCAUAGACUGCUGAAUGUGAAUGCAGCCAACUAAAUAUUUUGUAGUUUUUUUUAUUGCCUCUGUAGGCAGACGAGCACACGGCCCACCUGAUGGUAAGUAGUCACCGUCGCUCAUUGACGUCAGCAAUGCCAAGGGCAGAGCCAAGCCGCUGCCUAUAAGUAACUUCGAAUGCUAAUUUACGUUAUAUAAUGGCUAUCCUGUAUAUUACUGCUUCAAGAAAAGAAUAGAUGAGUGUAGUGAGUGUGUUGGUGCGGACCCGUGCGGGCUCACGAUACACUCCACAACCAGUAAUGAAGCAAAUACAGAUAUUUAAAUGAAUACUAUUAAUGAGAAUGUUUGUGUAUUAUAUGUUUGAAUAUUAUUAUUAUUUUUAUUUUUUAUUGCUUAGAUAGUUGGACGAGCUCACAGCCCACCUGGUGUUAAGUGGUUACUGGAGCCCAUAGGCAUGUACAGCGUAAAUGUCGCCACCCACCUUGAGAUAUGAGUUCUAAGGCCUCAUUAUAGUUAUGAAGUCGUCGUGGCCUAAUGGAUAAGACGUCCGGUGCAAUCGUGUUGAGCGAUGCACCGGUGUUCGAAUCUCAGGCGGGUACCAAUUUUUCUAAUGAAAUACGUACUCAACAAAUGUUCACGAUUAAUUUCCACGGUGAAGGAAUAGCAUCGUGUAAUGAAAAUGAAACCCGCAAAUUAUAAUUUGCGUAAUUACUGGUGGUAGGACCUCUUAUGAGUCCGCGCGGGUGGGUACCACCACCCUGCCUAUUUAUGCCGUGAAGUAGUAAUGUGUUUCGGUUUGAAGGGUCAGACAGCCGUUGUAACUAUACUUGAGACCUUAGAACUUAUAUCUCAAGGUGGGUGGCGCAUUUACGUUGUGGAUGUCUAUGGGCUCCACCCAUCUAAGCAAUAAAAAAAAAAUAAAAAAAAUACAAC